GUAUGAAUGAAGUAAUGAAUAGUAGCUAUAAUAAAAAAUAUUAUUUUAAUUUAAUGAACUGGUGAAAAUUCCAAUAUAUAGAAAAAAGACGAGAAGACCCUUAGAGUUUUUGAAAUAAAGAUUGUUUAAGACUUUAAUUAGAUACUACUCUUAAAGAAAUUAUACAAUACACUUUUUUGUUGGGGCGACAAGAAAGCAAUAUAACCUUUCUAUUGACACUAAAAGUGGUAUUAGAUCUGACGAAUUUAUUAUGAAUGACUAAACUACCUGAGGGAUAACAGCAUAAUGAUUAAUAUUAGUUUGUGACCUCGAUGUUGGACUAGGGACUUGUACACUAACCGUGAUAAAAGCUUGUUCUGUUCGAACAAUAAACCCCUACAUGAUCUG
rnacentral:rRNA from 1 species